UCUGGUCUAUCUUAUAGGAGGGACUAGAUAUCACUCUGUCUAUCUUAUAGGAGUGGUUCUAGAUCACUCUGUCUAUCUUCUAGGAGUGGUUCUAGAUCACUGUCUGUUAUAGGAGUGGUUCUAGAUCACUCUGUCUAUGUUAUAGGAGUGGUUCUAGAUCACUCUGUCUAUCUUCUAGGAGUGGUUCUAGAUCACUCUGUCUGUUAUAGGAGUGGUUCUAGAUCACUCUGUCUAUGUUAUAGGAGUGGUUCUAGAUCACUCUGUCUAUGUUAUAGGAGUGGUUCUAGUGCUCUCUGUGUCUGAGGGGAGGCACUAACAUAAUUAUCAUGAAGUUCAUUAAAUCUUUAAGCCAGAGGUGUUAAUAGCGACAGAUUUCCACCAUCAGUGGUAGAUGUGUAGAGACUAAUCUAUGAGAUGAGGUAGUGUUGAUGAACAGGGCAGGAAGUCGUUUCCUACGAUAGUAACAGGUACUAGAGGUGAACCAUCUGACUGUUUUACUGCUCAAUUCAGUUAUACAGCACCAGACGUCUUGAUCGUUAACUCAUAUCUGAGAUGAUCUGAUGUGUUGAGGGUGAAGGUGUUGAGGGUGAAAAUGUCUUUGUGAAGGUGGAGGGGGUGAAGAUGUCUUUGUGAAGGUGGAGGGGGUGAAGUUGUCUUUGUGAAGGUAGAGGGGGUGAAGAUGUCUUUGUGAAGGUGUUGAGGGUGAAGCUGUUGAGGGUGAAGUUGUCUUUGUGAAAGCUGUCUUUGUGAAGCUGUUGAGGGUGAAACUGUUGAGGGUGAAGAUGUCUUUGUGAAGGUGUUGAGGGUGAAGAUGUCUUUGUGAAGCUGUCUUUGUGAAGGUGUUGAGGGUGAAAAUGUAUUUGUGAAGAUGUUGAGGGUGAAACUGUAUUUGUGAAGUUGUUGAGGGUGAAGAUGUCUUUGUGAAGCUGUCUUUGUGAAGGUGUUGAGGGUGAAGCUGUCUUUGUGAAGGUGUUGAGGGUGAAGCUGUCUUUGUGAAGGUGUUGAGGGUGAAGCUGUCUUUGUGAAGGUGUUGAGGGUGAAGAUAUCUUUGUGAAGCUGUUGAGGGUGAAGAUGUUUUUGUGAAGGUGCUCAUUACAGUAAGUCUGCAUUACAAAUAGCAGCCUAUUCCCUUCAUAGUAAGCCUCUGGUCUAAAGUAGUGCCCUAUAUAGGGAAUAGGGUGCCGUUUAAGGAUGCAGGUCCUGUGUUUCAGUCUCCUGGUCUGUUUGUCGGUAAUCAUUCCUCCUGAUCUGCCAUCGCUGCUCCCAAGGCACGCUGCUGUCCUGAAGUGUCCAUGUUGCUAUGGUGACAGGUUGCCAUGCUGACUGCUUUCUGAUUGGUUGGCUUAGAGAGAGGUGUCUGUCUGUGUAGAUGGAAUAUGUUUUUCCAGUUGUGCUCUCUCGUCUGCGUCUUACAGUGUCAAUGUAAUGUCUACCUUUGUUCAGGUUCAAAUCCUUUUGUCAUCCCGUCACUGGGCAGUUUGUUCACAGCACAACAAAUAGUAUUUGUGUAUUUUUUAAAGCAACAAAGUCCUAUAAUUCAACACUCCAUUGGAAUCCACGAUGCCAAUAUCAUUUUUCCUUCUGGGGGGUAAAUAAAGUGUACCAGUCUUUACAUUCUGGAAUUCCUAAAUCCCAAAGUCCCCUUUUUCCUCUGUGGAGUGUUGGUGGUGAUCCAGGAUGAGCUGCGGGGUCGAGCUCUGAGCCUGAGUAGCUCCUACGCUGAGAGGAGCAGGCAGGACCAGCCUUAGGCCCCAGGCAGCUUCUAUUUGAUGCUGGAAUCCCCUAGGUGAGGAUGCUGGGGUUGGCUGGGCGCGAGAUUUACUCUGAUCCUCGGGGGCUCCAGGAUUCUUUUCUCUCUUUUCCUGUGUCCCAAAAGGCAACCUCUAUUCCCUACAUAGUGCACUACUUUCCAUUGGUGGUGACUGUGAUUCAGUAUUCCAGGGGUACACAUGAACAAGCCUUGCUGUUGUUGUGGUCCUGAGGAAAAUGACCCUCUCUGGGACUUCCUGCCAGGGCUGAGGAGUUAACAACACAUGAGUUCUUCAGAUCUGGCUUGUCGUUGUAGAGGACUAAGGUCCCAGUUUAAGGCAGGUAGGAAAGCUUGGUCUGUGUUGGUACCUACACAGCAUUUUAACAGCAGGUUAUACUCGGAUGCAUGUUCCUGUGUGUGUGUGUGUGUGUGUGUGUGUGUGUGUGUGUGUGUGUGGAAGAUGUAUUGUAGAGAAAACAGAGAUAAAUCACCUGAUUUGACAGUCAGAAGAACAAUGACAUGAAACAUCAAUUAAACUACAGCAGGAUGGAGAGAGAAAGGAGAGCUGCUCUGCUCACACACGCACGCACGCACGCACGCACACACACACACACACACACACACACGCACAAGCACACGCACACGCGCACACGCACACACACACACACUCUUGUCUCUAUCAGAG
rnacentral:lncRNA from 1 species